rnacentral:lncRNA from 1 species
CUUUCAUACUGAAAAUUCAACUUUUACAAGUCUCUUUGUGGAAUUGGUUCAAAGUUUUGAAUAUCUUUAUUUAAUUAAUUUUGUCCUAAAGGUUGGUGGCAGGACAGGACAGAUACAACAUUUGGAUGAAAAACCCUGAGUGGUGGAAUAGGGGAGGCAAUGUGGAGGGCACAGGGGACUCACACAACAGUGGCUCUGUUUCUGUUCAUCAGGAAAAUUGGGCGUAUCUGAAUAGUUUUCACACCAUCUAAGUAGCAUUGCAGAUAUAGGUGGAUCCCAUGAGAUGGCAGCUGGGGAUGAAGGUUAACACAAGCAUGCCUGAGCCCCUGCAUGAUUACUCUGUCCUACUGAUAACAUGCAAGUGAAAGCUAGAGUCCAAAUCACUUAAGCAGUUUGCAUACUUGUUACAUCUUGAAUGACUUCAGAUAAUUUUUUUUUUUUUAAGUUUGGUGCCAACCUGCUUCUCAAAUCCUCAAACACUUGCUGGUCCACAUGAUUUCUGCUGUAGGCAGCUGUUACUUCAAAAAUUAAGCCAAAAGAAACCUCUAUACGCUGCAUACUUAAUAUGGGACAUAUUAAUUUUUUUAUACCAAAACCACAUCAUAUAGCUAAGCAUGCUGAAGUCCCAGCUUUGUCAGAGGUCAGCUAGUACAGAAUCCAACCAUUCUUUCUAUGUUCUGUGUCGCCCAGUAUCAUUUAUUGCAUUGUUACCUCCUACUUACUACACUUUUACGGAAGAAGACAUUUUAUCUUAACUGCCUUUGUGUCUCUAAAACUGAAACAACGUGCAAAUUUUGUUAUGUGAUCUACGAUGCCUGGAAAAGUUUGUAGCGAAGAUCACUACAUCUCACAAAAAGGCCUGCAACAUGCAAUGCAAUAGAAUUUUCCCUGAUUAUGUGGACAAAGCUGUAUUUUUAUUCCUGUCAAAUGUCAACUGAGAUAAGUAAAUCUAGUCAUUCUGGAAAUGUUCAUCAGCCAGACGUGCCUCAACUGGUGAUGAUCAGCCAUGAAAAUGUUCUCAAUUGAGCCUAAUUAGACUUUGAAUUUUAAUCUUAUUAAGCAUCAGAUGUUGCCAAUCAUCUGCAACCAAGCUUCCCAUUGAAAUCAGCAGGACUAUCAUUGUAGAAUAAUAUUUUGUGUGACCCAAAAGAUAUUCUGGAUGCUUUUAACUUUCCUGCAAAAUUAAAAAAGACAACCCUGCACCAGUAUAUGUUCUGGAGGCCAUUGCCACAGCUUCCUGUAUUACAG